rnacentral:rRNA from 1 species
GACGAACGCUGGCGGCGUGCUUAACACAUGCAAGUCGAACGGAAAGGCCCUGCUUGCAGGGUGCUCGAGUGGCGAACGGGUGAGUAACACGUGGGUGAUCUGCCCCUUACUUUGGGAUAAGCCUGGGAAACUGGGUCUAAUACUGGAUAGGACCAUGCUGUAGGUGGUGUGGUGGAAAGAUUAGUUUCGGUAAGGGAUGAGCUCGCGGCCUAUCAGCUUGUUGGUGGGGUAAUGGCCUACCAAGGCGUCGACGGGUAGCCGGCCUGAGAGGGUGGACGGCCACAUUGGGACUGAGAAACGGCCCAGACUCCUACGGGAGGCAGCAGUGGGGAAUAGUGCACAAUGGGCGCAAGCCUGAUGCAGCGACGCCGCGUGGGGGAUGACGGCCUUCGGGUUGUAAACUCCUUGCAGCCAUGACGAAGCCCUUGUGGUGACGGUAGUGGUAGAAGAAGCACCGGCUAACUACGUG